rnacentral:rRNA from 1 species
AGGGAAUCUUCCGCAAUGGGCGAAAGCCUGACGGAGCAAGGCCGCGUGAGUGAUGAAGGUCUUCGGAUCGUAAAACUCUGUUAUUAGGGAAGAACAAAUGUGUAAGUAACUAUGCACGUCUUGACGGUACCUAAUCAGAAAGCCACGGCUAACUACGUGCCAGCAGCCGCGGUAAUACGUAGGUGGCAAGCGUUAUCCGGAAUUAUUGGGCGUAAAGCGCGCGUAGGCGGUUUUUUAAGUCUGAUGUGAAAGCCCACGGCUCAACCGUGGAGGGUCAUUGGAAACUGGAAAACUUGAGUGCAGAAGAGGAAAGUGGAAUUCCAUGUGUAGCGGUGAAAUGCGCAGAGAUAUGGAGGAACACCAGUGGCGAAGGCGACUUUCUGGUCUGUAACUGACGCUGAUGUGCGAAAGCGUGGGGAUCAAACAGGAUUAGAUACCCUGGUAGUCCACGCCGUAAACGAUGAGUGCUAAGUGUUAGGGGGUUUCCGCCCCUUAGUGCUGCAGCUAACGCAUUAAGCACUCCGCCUGGGGAGUACGACCGCAAGGUUG